AGGAGGAAGAAUCCAAAGCCAAAAGCCUGGCAAGGUUGGGAAGGAUCAUAAGAAUAGAACUGGAGGAAGCUAGCUGCCAAGCGGAAGAGUGGAGGCAGGUUCAAGGAUCACAGAAGAGGAGGCAGAAAGAUUGUAAGAGCCAGCCGCCGCAGACGGCUACAACGAAACAGUGUUUUGUGGCGUCAACGGGGCAGUUCCACGUAAGAACUCAAGUGCCAUGUUAACCUCUGAAAGACCUGCGCAAGAUCAAGCCAGACAAAAUCCCAGCAGGGAGAGCUGAGAUGGGCAGGAAGUCCCGCCCCUAGCUGAGGAGCCCUUGACAACUGAUGGCUGUUGGAAGAGGGAGAGCUAGUUUUCUUUAAGGUUGUGACCCCUUGAUGGGCCAACCACACCCAGGGUAGCAUUAGGGCAGUACAAACAGGGUUUGGUGGGUUUUAAAAAAAGAAGACACGAAGUUAAGUGGGCAGGAUGAUGACGUUGGAUCUGGGAAGAG